rnacentral:tRNA from 1 species
GGGGAUGUAGCUCAGUGGCAGAGUGUUUGCCUACCAUGCAUGAGGUCCUGGGUUUGAUCCUCAGCACCACAA